GAUGAACGCUGGCGGCGUGCCUAAUACAUGCAAGUCGAGCGAACGGACGAGAAGCUUGCUUCUCUGAUGUUAGCGGCGGACGGGUGAGUAACACGUGGAUAACCUACCUAUAAGACUGGGAUACCAUCGGGAAACCGGAGCUAAUACCGGAUAAUAUUUUGAACCGCAUGGUUCACAAGUGAAAGACGGUCUUUCUUUCACUUAUAGAUUGAUCCGCGCUUCAUUAGCUAGUUGGUAAGGUAACGGCUUACCAAGGCAACGAUGCAUAGCCGACCUGAGAGGGUGAUCGGCCACACUGGAACUGAGACACGGUCCAGACUCCUACGGGAGGCAGCAGUAGGGAAUCUUCCGCAAUGGGCGAAAGCCUGACGGAGCAACGCCGCGUGAGUGAUGAAGGUCUUCGGAUCGUAAAACUCUGUUAUUAGGGAAGAACAUAUGUGUAAGUAACUGUGCACAUCUUGACGGUACCUAAUCAGAAAGCCACGGCUAACUACGUG
rnacentral:rRNA from 1 species